rnacentral:rRNA from 1 species
UACGGAGGGGGCUAGCGUUGUUCGGAAUUACUGGGCGUAAAGCGCACGUAGGCGGCUUUGUAAGUCAGAGGUGAAAUCCCGGGGCUCAACUCCGGCACUGCCUUUGAGACUGCAUCGCUUGAAUCCAGGAGAGGUGAGUGGAAUUCCGAGUGUAGAGGUGAAAUUCGUAGAUAUUCGGAAGAACACCAGUGGCGAAGGCGGCUCACUGGACUGGUAUUGACGCUGAGGUGCGAAAGCGUGGGGAGCAAACGGG